rnacentral:rRNA from 1 species
GCCUGCAGCUUGCUGUGGGUGGAUGAGUGGCGAACGGGUGAGUAACACGUGAGUAACCUGCCCCUGACUCUGGGAUAAGCCCGGGAAACUGGGUCUAAUACCGGAUAUGACCAUUCUCCGCAUGGAGUGGUGGUGGAAAGUUUUUCGGUUGGGGAUGGGCUCGCGGCCUAUCAGCUUGUUGGUGGGGUGAUGGCCUACCAAGGCGACGACGGGUAGCCGGCCUGAGAGGGCGACCGGCCACACUGGGACUGAGACACGGCCCAGACUCCUACGGGAGGCAGCAGUGGGGAAUAUUGCACAAUGGGGGAAACCCUGAUGCAGCGACGCCGCGUGGGGGAUGACGGCCUUCGGGUUGUAAACCUCUUUCAGUAGGGAAGAAGCCUUCGGGUGACGGUACCUGCAGAAGAAGUACCGGCUAACUACGUGCCAGCAGCCGCGGUAAUACGUAGGGUACAAGCGUUGUCCGGAAUUAUUGGGCGUAAAGAGCUCGUAGGUGGUCUGUCACGUCUGCUGUGGAAACGCAAGGCUCAACCUUGCGCGUGCAGUGGGUACGGGCGGACUAGAGUGCAGUAGGGGAGUCUGGAAUUCCUGGUGUAGCGGUGAAAUGCGCAGAUAUCAGGAGGAACACCGGUGGCGAAGGCGGGACUCUGGGCUGUAACUGACGCUGAGGAGCGAAAGCAUGGGGAGCGAACAGGAUUAGAUACCCUGGUAGUCCAUGCCGUAAACGUUGGGCACUAGGUGUGGGGUCCAUUCCACGGAUUCCGCGCCGUAGCUAACGCAUUAAGUGCCCCGCCUGGGGGAGUACGGCCGCAAGGCUAAAACUCAAAAGGAAUU